UCGAACCCAGGUAUCCCACAUUGCAGGGAGAGUCUUUACCAUCUGAGUCACAAGGAAGUGAGGCCGUAUACAUAAAGUACCACAGGGUCCUGCCCCAGGCUAUGGGUUCCCUCCCCUUGCACCUGAGCUGUGGAAGGUGAGCCCCAGAUUUCUCAAGGGUGCCUCCUAGGAGCUAACCAAGGACUCAGAGGGCGUGGUUUGGGAGAGAAUUGUAUACUUGGUUCCUUAACAGGCAUUUAUUAAGCCCCAGCUGUGUGCUUAAUAAAUAAUAACACCAACAAAAAAUAAUAUCACCAAGGAACAAAAGCGCAACUCUGUGCCAUGCCCCCUGUGGACUUCACAAGAGCCAGGACACAUUCUUCAAGUCUGGAAGGAGAGCAAGGACAGAUAGGCAAGCGAGAGUCAAAGUGAAGUAAGCAGGUGGGAGAUAUGGGGGCGGGGGGCACUUCUCCCUUAAUAGUUCUUCCUCUCUCUCCCUCUCUGACUCCAUCUCUUCCUCCUCUACUUUUACAUCCAGUGAUAAAACUAUGUUUCUUUCCUGUAGGUACAGCUCCUUAUGCCAAUAAAGCUCCUCCUCCGUUGUCCACCAUGCGUGCAAGGUGGGGUAGAACACCUGCGUUGGGUAUUGUUAAAAGAUAAACUGAUGCACAUUAAAAAUUGUUUUUACCAGUUUAUUUGAACAAAAAUCUCUUGGAAUCAGCAGCGCCAAACCGCAAGUGGUUAAGAGCUCUCAGUGGUCAGGAGCCAGCUGGGAAGGACCUAAGCAGAGAAGGUGCAGAAGCCAAGGAAGAAGCUGUUUGGCUGCAGUGUAACGUCUGGUUGGCUCUCAGUGACUGGUCCUCAGAGUUUUUAUUUCAUAACCUUGAGGCAUUUGCAGGCUUAGAUUUUGGUUUGCUCAUACAGACCCCCCCCUUCCACCCAAGGGCAUCACAGCCGCCUCACUCUAAGGGUCUCCUUGUUUAAUUAACAAACCCCAGUUCCAUAACUAACUGGGUGACCCUUUUUGUGUUGUUGAACCUCGAUAAGCUUCAGGCCUCAUCAUCUGUGUAAUUGGCUUGUUAAUAAUCUUUCCUGUAGAGGAUUAUCAUGCGAUGUAAAGGAGAAAAAGGAAGUAUUUCCACCUGGCACGUAAUAAGUGCUCAUCACCUGGACACUGUUGUUGACCGUAAAGCUCACCCUAGAACCAGGCUGAGGGGACUGGAAGCCUGGCUCUGCCGCUUAUGAUCUGUAUGAUACCAGGUGUUUCCUGACCUCUAUGUCCAGGUAGGAAUAAAGAAAGGUUGCUUCAGCCAGCCAGUUACAUUAUAGGUACAGGACCCAGGAUGGUACACGUAAAGCACUGAUUUCAGCAUCCAGCACAUGGCAGCUGCUCAAUCAAAGAAAUAGAAGUAAAGAAUAAGUAAUUAACACAUCACCAGAUCUCCUCCCCAGCUUCCCCUUCACUGAUCUUUUGAAUAAACGGUGUGAACAAGAUAACAUCUAAAGAAAUAAGAAAGAUUUUACGGCCGAGCAGAAUCUUCAGAGGUGGUUUUUUGGGGAAGGCAGAGACCCAUCGUGUCCCCAGAUUGCUAGCAUUCUGAAUAAAAGGCAACUUUCCUUUACAUCAACAUUUAAAAAAAACAAACAGACAAACUUGCUUUUCUGGAAGCUCUGCUCACUUUCCUGUUCGCAUCAGCUCGGGCUACUACUGCCACUCUCCCUGAAAGCCGCAGUCCCCGAGGGGCCCAGCAGUGAGAAGAGGGAACAGCGUAUCUCCGCUGGACGUUGCAGCCCCUAAGUCAAAGUCACGCAGCCCAAAGUCACGCAGCCGACUGGUAGCAGAGUUAGACUGGAAGCCAAGUCUCCUGACUUAUUCCAGCUCUACCUCAGCAGAGUGGAGGAGAUGGUAAGACACAAAAGUAUGUCCUGUGGAGCCAGAUGGCAUGGGAUCAAGCCCUACCUCCAUCAGU